AUGAUGGGAAUAACUAAGCAGAAAUUUGGAAAUGAGCAUGAAAUGUCUAUAAAUGAAUUUUCUCAUUAUUCGUUAUUUCCGGGUCUUUUCGUUGCAUUCACUUACGACAAGAAACAACUACCAGCGACAGCACUUGCAUUUUGGUGGAUUCUUCUUCCUUUCCUUGGUCUUUCAUUCUGUCAUAUUCCAAAUAACUUAUCUAAUUACAACGUAUUAACCGCUAAUGCACCUUUUUAUCAAAUCUCAGGGACAUGGUCUAAUCAUAAGGGUAGUAUUUUAUCAUGGUGUUGGAUCCCAAGUUUUUAUGGAUUCCCUUUUUGUUACCCGGGUCGACCCCAAAGCCAUAAUGUCUCAAAACGAAGAGGCUAUAGAGAAACUUUCUUUUUUUCCUUUGUCUCGAACUUCAUGAAGAACUCCAUUCUAUUUCUCCAACCAAAAAGUGGGGUUGCGCCCCUGUUGUACACUCCCUUCGUUCGGAGAACCCUUGUAGAUUCUGAACUUCGUUCGCAAAGUAAGCGUCCUUUUAACAGGCCAGCCCUUUUUAAUGUGCCGCUUGACCCUAUUUUGAAAAUGAGCUUUGCUCUUCUGGGCGCUGGGCGCUCCCGUGGUUCGCGAGAAGGAAAAAAGACUAAUCUUUUAUUACAUCUGGCACGAGAUGAAAAAGAGAGAGCUUCGUCUAUCAAUGAACAGCAGAUGGAUGGAGCUCUUGGCAUUGCUUUGUUUUUCUCUCCUUUCCUAUCAGCGAGUUCUGAUCCUUUUGUUCGAAAUUUCUUCGCUUGUACCGAACCGCUUGCAAAAUCAAAUCCAGUUCCACAAGAUCCUAUAUUAGCUAUACAUCCUCCUUGCAUUUAUGCUGGAGAUGUCGCUAGUGCUAUGGUUUGGGUUAUGUAGAUCAAAAUGAUGAAUGGGAUUGUGGCACUCCACUCGCCUCCAAUGCGGAAUGAUGCUGCCGAAAAGAAUGGAAUGUUGCUUCGCUCUGCUGGAUGCGUCGGAUCCCAUAUAAGAAGCUCGCUCUUUACCCAAUCAUUCAAACAUUUUGUGGGCGGUGCACCUGCUCUAUUGUUGCAUAGCAAUAGAAGCCUGCUCGUGUGGCGCUUUUUCGCCUUCUCUUCGCUCUGGACAGGAGCUCUAAUGGACACGGGGAGGGAGCAGGCGAAGCAUGUCGUUCAUAAUGGAAAUAAAGACACCACUACUUUGCCUCUUUGUUGGACCGCCGGCGCGAACACGGUGGUCUCUGACCAGGACCAGGAACCAAUUUGAAUUUGGAUCUUGACAUGUCAGUUGUUUUUAACCGUAGGCAUCUUGCCAGGAAGUUGGUGGGCUCAUCAUGAAUUAGGUCGGGGUGUCUGGUGGUUUCGGGAUCCCGUAGAAAAUACGUCCUUUAUGCCUCGGGUAUUAGCCAUGGCUCAUAUUCAUUCAGUAAUUCUACCACUUCUUCAUUCUUGGACCUCACUUCUAAAUAUUUUGACUCUUCCAUGCUGUGUCUUAGGAACCUUUUCAAUACGGUCCGGAUUGUUAGCUCCCGUUCAUAGUUCCGCUAUAGACAAUACACGAGGAAGAUUUUUAUGGUGGUUCUUCCUUCUAAUUACAGGCGUAUCUAUGACUCUUUUUUACCAGAUGAAGCAGGAGGCAUCGGCCCGUAGAACCUAUAAAAAAGAGAUGGUUGUGGCGCGAAGUACUCUUGUACACCUACGUCACUCGGCUCACGCGCAACCCCACCCUGUUAUGUUAUGUUAUAGAAUAAUUAAGCUUCUUGCUGCAUGGUUAUUCAGAGACAACAACUGGCUGUUGGAUUUCACCCAGUCCGUAGCGCUUCGUAAGUCACUCUGGCGUGGCGCGGCUGGAUACUUCUGA
rnacentral:rRNA from 1 species